rnacentral:rRNA from 1 species
AUUGAACGCUGGCGGCAGGCCUAACACAUGCAAGUCGAGCGGUUGAAGGUAGCUUGCUCCUGGAUUUAGAGGCGGACGGGUGAGUAAUGCCUAGGAAUCUGCCUGGUAGUGGGGGAUAACGUCCGGAAACGGGCGCUAAUACCGCAUACGUUAUGAAGGUGAAAGAGGGGGAUUUUGGUACCUCGCGCUAUCAGCUUAGCUUAUGUGGGAUUACCUAUUUGGUGGGGUAAAGGCCUACCAAGACGACGAUCAGUAACUGGUCUGAGAGGAGGAACAGUCACACGGGAACGGAGACACGGUCAAGAUGCUUAAGGGAGGCAGAAGAGGGGAAUAUUGGACAAGGGGGGAAGGCCGGACAAAGAAAGGCGGCGUGGUGGAAGAAGGUCUUCGGAUGGAAAAGCACUUUAGGAUGGAAGGAAGGGGAGUAAGUUAAUACCUUGAUGAAGUGACGGUACCAACAGAAUAAGCAACGGCUAACUACGUG